CCUACGGGAGGCAGCAGUGGGGACUAUUGCACAAUGGGGGAAACCCUGAUGCAGCGACGCCGCGUGAGUGAAGAAGUAUUUCGGUAUGUAAAGCUCUAUCAGCAGGAACGAGACAAGACGGUACCUGACUAAGAAGCCCCGGCUAACUACGUGCCAGCAGCCGCGGUAAUACGUAGGGGGCAAGCGUUAUACGGAAUCACUGGGUGGAAAGGGAGCGUAGACGGCUGAGCAAGCCUGAAGUGAAAGGCGGGGGCCCAACCCCCGGACUGCUUUGGGAACUGUACGGCGGGAGUGCAGGAGAGGUAAGUGGAAUUCCUAGUGUAGCGGUGAAAUGCGUAGAUAUUAGGAGGAACACCAGUGGCGAAGGCGAUUUGCUGGACUGUAACUGACACUGAGGCACGAAAGCGUGGGGAGCAAACAGGAUUAGAGACCCGAGUAGUC
rnacentral:rRNA from 1 species